rnacentral:rRNA from 1 species
UAGUAUGGGGAUCUGCCCGAUAGAGGGGGGUAACUACUGGAAACGGUGGCUAAUACCGCAUAAUGUCUGCGGACCAAAGCAGGGGCUCUUCGGACCUUGCACUAUCGGAUGAACCCAUAUGGGAUUAGCUAGUAGGUGGGGUAAAGGCUCACCUAGGCGACGAUCUCUAGCUGGUCUGAGAGGAUGAUCAGCCACACUGGGACUGAGACACGGCCCAG